GAUGAACGCUAGCUACAGGCUUAACACAUGCAAGUCGAGGGGAAACGAUAGAGAAAGCUUGCUUUUUCUAGGCGUCGACCGGCGCACGGGUGAGUAACGCGUAUCCAACCUGCCCAUCACUUGGGGAUAACCUUGCGAAAGUAAGACUAAUACCCAAUGAUAUCUCUAGAAGACAUCUGAAAGAGAUUAAAGAUUUAUCGGUGAUGGAUGGGGAUGCGUCUGAUUAGCUUGUUGGCGGGGUAACGGCCCACCAAGGCGACGAUCAGUAGGGGUUCUGAGAGGAAGGUCCCCCCACAUUGGAACUGAGACACGGUCCAAAACUCCUACGGGAGGCAGCAGUGAGGAAUAUUGGUCAAUGGACGAGAGUCUGAACCAGCCAAGUAGCGUGCAGGAUGACGGCCCUAUGGGUUGUAAACUGCUUUUAUAAGGGAAUAAAGUGAGUCUCGUGAGGCUUUUUGCAUGUACCUUAUGAAUAAGGACCGGCUAAUUCCGUGCCAGCAG
rnacentral:rRNA from 1 species